rnacentral:lncRNA from 1 species
GAGUCGGGGCCCGGGCCCCAGCCCGAAUCGUGGCAGGGCAUGAGCCUGAAAGAACAAACGAGCUGCUCCAGAUAAUUGGAAAAUGCUGUCUCAACAAGGUACUACUGCUGUCCUGGCAUUUUGAACUUACUUAGUACUUGAGUAAAAAGUAGUCGGGGGUGAGGGACUCACAUGUGCGGGCGGUUUAGGGAAGGAGUUUCAGUGGUGUCUGUCAAACACUGUGCUUUGAAUCUGAUCCCACCCCUUCUGGAGCCCCAGAGAUACAGAAGGAGUAAUUUAAUACUGAAUGAUAAAACAAAUAAGGGUAUGUAAUACGCAAGUUCUGCAAGCUUUCAAUAGAAAAUCGGGAACCCUGUGGCUGGAGGCUGGAGGCUGGAGGCUGCAGGCCCAGGCUUCCAUGCCCUCUGGCUUUCUCCUUUCUGAGGCUCCCUUGAGGACAGGUGGCUGCUUCCAGCCAGGGCUGCAGUGGCUGCAGGAGCUGCUUUUCUUCUUCCCUGGGUCUUAUGGGAGUCUCUGUUCUCUUCCUCCAUCUCCAGCCUCUGGUGUCUGCUUGCCUGUCGCCCUUCCUCUCUCUCUUCCACCUUUUCUCUCUCUCUCGGUUGCUGUUUCAGUUGUACAGGGAGUAGAUUUUUUCCUUCUUGAGCUUUUCACUGUGGGCUAGAAGCUUGGGUGUCAGGCCUCAGGCUUCUCUGGUUAGGUCCAGCCUGGGCCUUGUUUGCCCAAAUGUUGGAGAAGGUCUUUCCCCAGGGUCUUCCUUCUUUUGAAGGCCGAGUAGUGCCCUGUGGAGGAGCAGGUUGGACUUGUAUUGAGAGUGUAAUUAAUACAGUUUUUCACAUACCUAGUGGGUGGUUGGCUGGGGGCUAACCUUAAAUGUGACCCAAAUGGGAACAGGUAGGUUUCAGCCCCCUCAACAGCAGUGGGUCAUGGAGGUGCAUAGUGGUAUCAGGCCGACUCCUAGGAGGCCCCCCCAGUGCAGGUCCAGAAUGCAAACUUAGAGACUUGGAAGCAGAUCUUGCCAGUACACUGGCCUCUGUCCCUAGGCUCCCCAGCUCCCCUUCCCGGGUCCUUUAUGUUUCUCAUCUUUCUAAAAAGCACAUCUGGCUCCUGUCUCCUCUGCUGAAUCAUCUCCGGCUUCCAGUAGCCUCGGGUCUGGGCCAGCUCCAUGGCACAGCUUGUGAGGCUCCUAGAGACCUGCUGCUACUUCUCUCCCUUCAGAUCCUUCUCUCGUUUCCCAUAUCUGAGCCCUCCAUUCCAGUCACCACGCACCCCUGCAUUCGGCCCUGGCCGGCUGUCUCCCGUCGGCCUCUUGCCCUGGUGCCUGCUGGCUUCUUGGUGCCUGAGCUGCCUUCCUCCUCCAGCCUCACCCAGCAGCAAUGUGGCGUCUGUGAGUGCUUCCUUGAGCCUGGGCCUCUCCUCCCUCCCAGGCUGACUUAGGCGCUCCUGUAGGCUUCCUAUAGGCUGUUGUUUAAUUGUUGUGUUUAUCUGUGUCCCCAGUACACGGUGUGUCUUUGGCCUAAAUGGAGCCUGGCACGCGGCAAUCACGCAGCAUGUGCUUGUGGAAUGAGUGCGUGAGUCAGUGGGACUCCUGACUGAGGUGUCCUACACUCUGGAUGGCUGUCAGGGAUGCUGGAGAAGGAAUUUUUGCGUUUGAUGGGGCUUGAAUCAGAUCAGUGGUUUUUUACCCAUAAUUUUAUUAUUGUGUUAAAGUCCAUAAAACAUAAAAUUUGCCAUCUUAACCAUGUUGAAGUGUACACUUCAGUGCUGGUAAAUUCAUUCAUGUGCAGCCAUCACCACCUUCCAUCUCCAGGACUCUUCUCCUUGCAAAACAGACUCUGUCCCCAUGAAACACUAACUUCCUCUUCUCCCGUACCCCGGCCCCUGGCACCCUCCAUUCUACUUUCUGUCUCUAUGAAUCUGACUACUCUAGGGACCUCGGAUAAGUGGGGUCAUAGAGUGUUUGUCAUUUUUUUGACUGGCUUAUUUCACUUAAUAUAAUGUUCUCAAGGUUUAUCCAUGUUGUGGCAUGUAUCAGAAUUUCAUCACUUUUUAGGGCUGAAUAAUAUUCCAUUGUAAUGGAUAUACCAUAUUUUGUUUAUCCACUCAACUGUCAAUGGUACAGUUUGCUCCCACAUUUUAGCUAUUAUGAAUAAUACUGCUAUGAACAUGGGUAUACAAAUAUCUCUUCAAGACCCCGUUUUCUAUUUUUUUGGAUAAAUACCCAGAAGGGGAAUUAUUGGGUCAUAUGGUAAAUCUGUGCCUAAUUUUUUGAGGAGCUGUUAUACUAUUUUCCAUAAUGGCUGCAUCAUUUUACAUUUCCACCAACAGUGCAUGAGAGUUUCACUUUCUUCUUAUCCUUGCCAAUGCUUGUUGUUUUGUGUGUUUUUUUUAGGAGCAGCCAUCCUAAUGGGUGUGAGGUGGUUAGAUAAAAUCUUAAGGCACUUAUGGCUGGGAUUCUAUGAUCCCAUUAGAAGUUUAAGGUAUUUGUAGUAGAGUUGCAUGGGUCAGCUUUAUUAACCUUGAACACACACAUUCACAUUUGACAGCUUGGGUAGACUUGAACCAGGAUUCAUUUAGCUUGGGUGGACGCUACUGUUAGUGACCAAAGUGCUGAAAGUAAUAGUUAUCAAGAUAUGCUAUGUUUUGUAUGUGAUAAUAACAUGUUCAAAAAAUAUUUUAUCCUUUGAAUUUCAUUGUAGACAGAGAAUCUGUCUCAUGAGCUAUCUUUGAAUGGCGAUGUUCUAUUUGUUACGUGUGUGGAUCUCAUUUCACCUAACACCUCAUUUCCUCCCAUUUGGACGACAAGCUCUCUAGUGACGAUGCGGUGCGGAGGGUUUUAGCUGGAGAGAAGGGAGAAGUGAAAGGCCGGGCCUCACUGACCUCAAGAUCUCAGGAAUUGGAUAAUAAGAGUGUGCGAGAACAAGAGUCCAGAGUUCACAAAAAUACAGAGGUGAAUUCCAAGUCGCACAUCUUUGAAAAUGAAAUAAUGAGUCUUUUUGUAGUUUAGGUAAAAACAUUCAUAAAUGAUUUUAUUUUUAUUUCGUAGGAUAGAGGAGACGCUGAAAUAAAAGAGAGAAGUACAAGCAGAGAUCGAAAACAGAAGGAAGAAUUGAAAGAAGACCGCAAGCCAAGAGAAAAGGACAAGGACAAGGAGAAGGCCAAGGAGAAUGGCGGAAACAGACACAGAGAAGGGGAGAGAGAGAGAGCCAAAGCCCGGGCCAGGCCAGACAGCGAGCGACAGAAAGACAGAGGCAACAGGGAGCGGGACAGAGACUCCGAGCGCGAGAAGGAGACAGAGAGAAAGAGUGAGGGGGGGAAAGAGAAGGAGAGACUGAGAGACAGGGACCGAGAGCGCGACCGGGACAAAGGGAAGGACAGGGACAGACGGAGAGUGAAAAACGGGGAGCACUCCCGGGACCUGGACAGGGAGAAGAACAGAGAGCAUGACAAACCCGAGAAAAAGGUAAAGUCUUGCUGAGAACCUCGCCUUUUGCUUAGCAAGAGUUUGUGGUGGUCUCAAACAUGAUUUUUAUCUUUCUUACAAUAUGACUAGG